GCNUCUNGAAAAUAUUUNGAGGUACAUCCUGCCCGGUGACAUACGUGUUAAACGGCCGCGGUAACCUGACCGUGCUAAGGUAGCAUAAUAAUUUGCCUCUUAAUUGGUGGCUAGAAUGAAUGGACACACGAGAGCCAAGCUGUCUCUUUUUCACAAAUAAAAACUAACCUUCAGGCGAAAAGGCCUGGAUAAUUUUAAAGGACAAGAAGACCCUGUCAAGCUUUAUUAGUCCUAUCUACACUUAAUAUUUUAAUAAAUUUAUUAGAUAUAUCUAAUUUAGUUGGGGCGACUGGGGACCAAAAAUAGCGUCCCCCCACAAUCUCUAAGGGUAAUAACCCUAUAUAAAUGAUCCUUAAAAAGACCAAGAGACAAGCUACUGCAGGGAUAACAGGCUAAUUUUCCCUAAGAGUCCAAAUCGAAGGGAAAGUUUGGCACCUCGAUGUUGGCUUAAGACAUCCAUAAAGUGCAGCAGCUUUAAAUGGUAGGUUUGUUCAACCUUUAAAGUCUUACGUGAU
rnacentral:rRNA from 1 species